UACGUAGGGUGCGAGCGUUGUCCGGAAUUACUGGGCGUAAAGAGCUCGUAGGUGGCUUGUCGCGUUGUUCGAGAAAUCUCACGGCUUAACUGUGAGCGUGCGGGCGAUACGGGCAGACUAGAGUACUGCAGGGGAGACUGGAAUUCCUGGUGUAGCGGUGGAAUGCGCAGAUAUCAGGAGGAACACCGGUGGCGAAGGCGGGUCUCUGGGCAGUAAAUGACGGUGAGGAGCGAAAGCGUGGGGAGCGAACAGG
rnacentral:rRNA from 1 species